rnacentral:rRNA from 1 species
GGGAGGCAGCAGUGGGGAAUUUUGGACAAUGGGCGCAAGCCUGAUCCAGCAAUGCCGCGUGCAGGAUGAAGGCCUUCGGGUAGUAAACUGCUUUUGUACGGAACGAAAGGCUCUGGGUUAAUACCCUGGGGAUAUGACGGUACCGUAAGAAUAAGCACCGGCUAACUACGUGCCAGCAGCC